rnacentral:siRNA from 1 species
UGGAAUUGGCAAAGGUGGAGG